CGCGGGUCAAGGGACCGAACGGCGCCGUUUUGGCACUGGUACCCUUGUCUCAAAACGACGUCGUAUCAUUGCACUAUUUAAACCAAGUUUUUGCUUAAAAAAUCAUUUGUAUCAACCAAAAUAAAAUAAAAUAAAAAUAAAAAAGCUUCAACUCUCUACUAGGGUUUUAACCCUAGCUUUCGCGCCGCUCGGAGGCUCCAUCAGUCCUCGCCCCCACCGUCCUCGCUCGAGCUCCGAUCACGAUGAAGUGAACGAGGACUUAUUCAGCGCCAACGUGUAGGUAAAUCCCACCCCC
rnacentral:lncRNA from 1 species